GCUAAGUUUUUGCUACAUUGUAGGUCGAAUACACGGUACCCAUUAUUCUAUACCGUUACUCUAACCGGCUCUGUUGGAAGUGCACAGUAAGCCCAUAUUUAGAUCACAAGCUUGAUAUUUACAAAACGAACAUCCAAAGGUUAUGAAUCUCGUAUAUCCGUUAAUUAACUGGAUAUAGUAUAACUAUAUCCAUAUAUGGCCUAACAGUGCCUGUUAAUUUUCCUACUUGUAUACCUCAUGUGGUUUCGACUGAAGUAUUUGUAAAUACUGCUGAUGAGUUGUACCGGGCAUUGACCACCACUGAAAGAUUAAUGGAUGUCUUCGAUGUUGUGUUGCCAAUUUGUCCCCAUCACCCUUGGCAGAUCAAUAGCAUGUUUAUCAAACUAGACAUUUUAACAAAUGCAAGUUUCUGGGUACUCUAAACUUCUAGCGUGACCCUUAGAAUAAUGUAAUUAAGCUUUAUUCAUUUUGAUUAUGAAUAGGUCUACAUCCAUUAACACAACACGUACGAUAUGUGUUGAAUUAUCCGGGCUUUGGAAGGUUUUAAAAGCUAUACAAGGGUCAUAAUGACUCUCUUAAAGAUCGCUAACGUAUUUUACGCAUAAAAAUACUUACCUACACUUGCAAUAUAUAACUGCCACAAGCCAUUCCCUAGCGACGAAACAGAUGUCUUCUGUCAGAACGACAUUUUCGUUUUCACUACUAAUUCUAUAGUUUCUAGCUGGGCCUAAUAAGUCUACGUAUUGUUUACUCCCGGUGUGUGCCUAUACAAAGCUUUAUCCUAGUUGAUAGUUCCUUCUGCUUUCCGUCGAAGAUAACUGAUAAAUCUGUUUCUCUUAGAAAAUAGUUUAGACAAAAAGACCAAAUAAAUAUUAAUUCAAUUGAAGGCAAUACUUGAUGCAAACGCUAGCUAAUAUACCGAUUGAUUGAAAACAUGAGCUAAAUUGGCUUGCAUUAUCUAAAUGGCCAGACGAAAAAUAUUACAAUAGUAUGGAGAAUAAACAUACGCCACAUUCAAUUUGCAGACCUCCUUUUCUAUUCACUCAAUCAUUUAGUCUCAACAACGAUUGAAAAAACUAAGGGUACCUCUGCAGACAUCAGAAUGGGCACCCAAUUCGGCAUAGCAGGACUUAGAAGAACGUUUGUAAAUGCCGUCGAUAGGUUCCUGAUGAAGCAUUCGAAGACGUUUGCUUGCUCUUAGCACUUGCUAUAAAAAUUUCGAUGCGCUACUAGGCAAUCCUGGCCUGAAAAAGGCACAGAGUAUUAGUUUGUCAACGAGAAGCUGCAGUAGCUUAACGAACGUCUGUCCAUUACUGCGAUCAGUUGUCCUGCACCAAAAACCAAUACUAACUUAUCGAAUCAUACAUAUUGCGCACAAACUUAUGCUGUCGACAAUCGACUCGCGGCUGACGAAGAGGGAGGAAGGGGCUUGGUGUUCAAAGUAGUGUUUGUUACCUAACGAAUUGGACCAGCGAAAAUAUCGAUCGAAAUGGCGGCCCCCGGCAUUGAUGCAUCUAAGUUAGCAUUCGUCCUUCAGUAUUUUGACACAUCGUAUAUUCGUACGCCACCUGGAAUGCUCAAGGUUGCGCAGCUCGUAAAUGCGCUCAUCGGAUUCAUCUUGGCGGAGUUGGCUAGCGACAGAUUUGGGUCUACGUCAAACUGGUUCGGCUUUGUUUCCAUGACCGGAUUUUGGGUCACGCUAAUUCUUCUCGUAUUCUAUAUGCUGCAUAUUCUUGAGAAGCUGCUCUUCAUUCCUUGGCCACAAGCUGAGCUGGGUUACACUGCGCUCUGGAGUGUACUAUAUUUCAUUGCUGGAGCUGUCGCUGCUUCGAAAGGCGGGGAAGAAGGGGUCCUGGCAGCAGCGGCGUUGUUCGGCUUCGUUGGAAUGAUACUAUACGGCGGAGACGCCUUCCUAAAAUAUAAAGCUUGGAAGUCCAAUGCUGCGGCGUACGCCGCUGGUGUCCCGCCCGGAACUACAGAGAUGGGCAUGGAAGUGCCCGCAGAAGGGGGCAUUUCGCCCACGUCACCUAACGCCAACUAUCCUGCCUACUAAGUUAAGGAGACUGCGCGCCAACAGAGGCAACGACUAUAGUAACCACAUGCAACGUAGACCUAUCGCUAGCUCGCCAUACGCAACCGUGAAAUCGGGCAAAUCGAAAUUGUGCUUAUCUGCCAUGUAGCUCGCGGUGUUCGUAAAUGUUUUAUCGUUAAAGGAUCGUUGAACUCUGCGAAGGAGAUAAGGCUGUUUGGGAGCCAUCAGUGAACACGCCAAGAGAUUGAUAAGUGUUCAGAAUACAUAUUGAUAGCGGGAGAUAGCAAUAAUUACGCGUACGCUAUUCGAGGAUCCCUCUGCAUUUGUCACAAGAUGAAACGCAGUGCGCAGAUUUAUGCGCAGUGAAGAUUUGAGGCGUAACGUAUAUAUGUAUGUAUGAAACCAAAUUUGAGAAUUGUCUGGGCUGUCAUGUAAAAUGUCAUGUGUUAUAUACUGCCAAAUUGUGAUUGCGAUCAGUGUCUUUAACGGUUUACUGUAAUUAGUUAGAUUCAGAAAGAAACGCUAGUCGAACGUAAUCGAGGUAACGAUCAUAUUAAAAUUAAGCGAAACUACCAGUGAGGAAACGUCUUUGAACAAGAGCUGGCAGAUGAUACCCUAUCGUUCUCUGCAGAUCACAGACCAAUUUGUUAUUGAGCUGUUCAUUUCCAAGCAGUACACUUUAAACAUUCUGUUGUACAUUUUUUUUUAAUCAAAAACGUUUCGAGAUUAAGGUGGAAGGACGAAAAAAAAAAACGAUGCAUUAAAUCAUUAUUAUUGUUAUAAUAGUCAUUUUUCAUUACAGGACCGGUGAUCUGUAUAUAAAUCUGUCAGUAAUAUAUUCGUCAUUGAGUCAGUUCGAUUGGCGGGCGUGUGAGUGCCUGUAUGUAUGUAUGUAUGUAUGACAAAUAAUCUACGACAGCCAAAAAGAUUAUCAUUUAUUUAUUAGUAAUAAAAGGGAUGAGUAACAAACUGUGAAUAUAUACGCGUGCAUCCGGCUUUAAAAUAACAACAACGGCAGAAAUAACCGAGCUCAAGAACGUUGUUCACGCUACAUCAUACGGACAUCUAUACAAAGCACGAACUCAUAUCAAAAGGUGGCGAAAGUUGAUAUAUUGCGGGUUGCGUAUCUAUAUAUUCUAGUUUUACAUAUGUACUCCAUGGGCCAAUCUGAACUUUUGGUUCCGAUUCGAUGUGCUCUGAAGGUGGGGAGAAAGAGAGCGAGAGGGGGGAGGGGGGAGAAGGGAGAGAGAGAGGUAGGUAGCGAGAGACAAAGUGCAAACCUAGCGGUUAAAUUCAUCUCGUCUAACUACAGUCGUAUGGGUUAGUCUAUGGUUGAUUUUUGACAUAGGCCCUGCUGCGUUUCGGUCAUUGCUAUUUUGCGGAUUGCAGAUGACCUAUGAUGACCUAGAUGAUGAUGCACACAAAAUUGUCCUUAGAAGAAAGAAAACAACGGUAAAAGCUGCAAGAAUCUAGCGAUAUGCAUAGAGUUGUUAUACCAAGCCGGGGUGGCUCAGUUCGUAGAGAUAUGAUUGAAGACGACAACAUGACAAAGGGAGCGUUUAUAAAUCAAUUUACAUGUAUACAAAUGGAAAGCGUACGGAAGACGACUUUUGGGACACGGCGAUUGGCCGUACUAAACUGUGACAAAGCGAGAAAAACAGGCGGAGUUACGAGAAGAGAUUAAUAAGCCACGGAACUGCCUAGGGUUCGCUGCAUUCAGCUAGGAAAAAGUGCGGCGUCCGUACGAAGUUCGUUUACUAAGUGUCUAUAGCGGGCUUCAAUGAAUUCCAGAGCUGCACGCGAUUGCGACAUUCUGGCCUAACGGUUAUUUGGUGACUGCAUGAUAAAAGUGAAGUACAGCAAAAAUAUUACUGAAGUGAAAACGAAAUUGAAAUUAGAGGCGCGUGCGCAUAACUGUCCGAAGCACCCCAUUAAUGCAAAAGAAUAAUGUAUGUUCAACUGGAUAAAUGGGCCUUACAGACGUAAUAUAACGCACACCAUAUGGUAAUUACGGGCGAUAGCGCUCGUACUUAUACGAUAACCACCGUUCAUGUAUGCAGAAUAGAUAACUGAAGUGCAGGGAACAAUAUGAGUGGUAGGAUGCUUUUCAUCUGAAUAGUGCUACAUUGGCCUUUUAUUUGUUCCCGUACAGUUAAAAAUAGACAAGCUAUGUUUGGCUAUAAACAACCGUCACGGUUGUAUAUAUGAAAGCCUUUGAAGCUUCAUAACGCUGAAUGGCCAAGUCGAACCAAUAGGCUGCUUAAUUAAUAGACGCAAAAAGUCGCGUCACAAAAAAAGGCUUAGCGUUACGCAAUCAAUUCUAAUUAAUGCAAUGUAAAGCCUAGAAGCAAAGGCGCCAACGUUGAUUGGCCUAGCUCUAAGGUUCGAUUAUGCCUAGUGACAAUUAUAGGUUCAUUACCGAUAGCAGAUGAACGGAAGCUUCUCAACAAACGCACUCUACAGCUCGAGGGACGAAAAGCAAAGCUAAUUGUCGGAACAUUCUAUUCAGAUAAUUUGAUCGUGUGUCGUCGUUUUAUGCGGAGAGAACUGAGGAUUACACUUCAGCAAUUUUCAUUUCAUACAAAAAAAACUCUGUGGCUGAAUAUCAGCCCUCUAUUGUGUGUAUAGACCUACCUAGGAUAACAGUAUUAAUUAGCAAUACGUUCAACUGCCUUUUAUAUGUCCUACUACGGGCGGCACCGUAAGUGCAGUUAGUCCAAGUGUUUGUGAAAGCCUUAGAGCACCCCCUCUCCUUCAGGUUGUGGGGUUGGACUUCUGUACCGUAUUUUACGUAGGUCAAAUGUGGCGCCGCAUUUCAUAAUGACGUGUGUGCAAAACAUUAUGGAUCGACACAUCGAGGACAAAACACGUAAAUAAUCAUUCAGUAUAUAUAUAUAUAUUAUAACAAUUACGAGUAACAUCGAAAAAUAUGUAUCGCACUUAGAACUUAGUUUGGCAGCGAUAACGCCAACAGUGUAUUGGCCAUCAAAGAGAUACUAUCAUUUCUUGAUAUUAAUUUGAAAAAAUACACCUGUUAAUUUUAGCUAAAAUGACUCGGUAACUGAAUCUAUUAGAAAAGAGCGACGUCACACGUCUACCAGCUCUGCUGACUGCAAUAACCUGAGACCGUGCAGAAAAAACGUAAGGAUCACGCACAGAGGUACGCGAUAAUAUAAAGCUCACUAUAACUAUAGACCGACAAAUUGUGGAUAUCUAGCAACAUCUAAUUAUAUGUACGAUGUUAUUGCUCGCCGAUACUCUCCAUGUGAACAAAAAUGCACAAUGGCAAAGUCUUUCGAAAUCUAUCCAUAAAAUUGUAAUGAUAAUAAUAAGAAAACUAACCGCACGAAACAUGGCAGUACGUCGUGAUUGUAUACUAUAAUAUACUACUCGUUCUCGGUGAAGACGUGUUUGUUGCUGGAACAUUCGCGCGAUAUUUUCCAUCCAUUCCCAGCUGUUUGUCGGCCGUGAUGACGUGCCUGCCGUGAGAUAGGAACAUUAUGCCGGCCAUAUUACAAACAUUUCAUUUUCAUAGAAGUCGUUCAUUUGAUGCGAGUCGUCAAAAGCCUCCGACGGCCACUGCAAAUGUAUAACCACGGAAAAUAAGUCAACCGCUCGAUUGAGGGGGCGUUUCAUGCUUGAUAGAAAUUACCGUUGAAACAGUGUUUUGUCUUGCAGAUCGUCAUUUGCACUAACCCUAGUAGAGAAGGACUCUACCUAAUACAAGGAUUGGCCAACGGUUUAAGGCGUCAAAAAAAUACGGUACAGGGUUAAAUUACAUUGAAUUUGUCGGUACUUUAGGUAAUUUGCUGUCGAUGGUAAAGCUGCAGAUUCUAUUGGAGCUACGUAGCGCAUACAGUUAGUACAGAAGAAGUGUGGCGUACCUUUAACAGUACACGGUUGUUGUAUUUCGUUCAUUAAAUCAAUAAACUAAGAAAUCGUCCGUACGGGUUACGUUCUGACGACCGACGUUCCACGGUGCUUCAGGUUAACUUGAAGAAGACCAGACAAAAUUUUGAGAGUUCGUCACCUUGUAUUGGGACCCCCGAGCGAGCAGGACUUAUGCCCCACGAGACAACACAAUAAUCUGUCGCUUCUUCUCAAACUAGGUGCAGGCUACGUCCUUCCAGCAGGGCUAUGUUUGUGAGCGCGCUGUCUAUUUACGCUCGUAAGAACGGAAAACAAGUUGCCAGCAAGGUCCCAUAUGAAAACGAACUAUAUACAGCCUACAAAGUGGCUAGUUCACUGUGUCAGAGACAUUAAUGAAGCAUAUAGAAUUUUUAUAUGGUUCAUUGAACGUCUUCCCAUAUGAAUGACAAUUACUGUAUGUUUACGAUUUUCAACCUUAUAUAGCAUCUACAUAUUUAUAUGGUAACAACUAGGGUAAAAUAGGAUUCAUUAUCCUAAGAAACAGCCCGAUAAAAUACUAAACAGUAACAAAGCAAAAACGCCUACGGAUUGUAUAUAACAAGAAUGAAUAUAUAAUUAUGUUGUAACUGUGUAAGCAUAAUGUCGACAACAAACCUGUUGUCAUGCUACCUAAUAUACUGUGCAAAAUAAACUGCGUUAAACAUUA